GACCUUCGGGUCUAGUGGCGCACGGGUGCGUAACGCGUGGGAAUCUGCCCUUGGGUUCGGGAUAACAGUUGGAAACGACUGCUAAUACCGGAUGAUGACUUCGGUCCAAAGAUUUAUCGCCCAGGGAUGAGCCCGCGUCGGAUUAGCUAGUUGGUGAGGUAAGAGCUCACCAAGGCGACGAUCCGUAGCUGGUCUGAGAGGAUGAUCAGCCACACUGGGACUGAGACACGGCCCAGACUCCUACGGGAGGCAGCAGUGGGGAAUAUUGGACAAUGGGCGAAAGCCUGAUCCAGCAAUGCCGCGUGAGUGAUGAAGGCCCUAGGG
rnacentral:rRNA from 1 species